rnacentral:rRNA from 1 species
GAGCGGCCGAUAUCAGAUUAGGUUGUUGGUGGGGUAAAAGCCUACCAAGCCGACGAUCUGUAGCUGGUCUGAGAGGACGACCAGCCACACUGGGACUGAGACACGGCCCAGACUCCUACGGGAGGCAGCAGUGGGGAAUUUUGGACAAUGGGCGCAAGCCUGAUCCAGCCAUGCCGCGUGCGGGAAGAAGGCCUUCGGGUUGUAAACCGCUUUUGUCAGGGAAGAAACGCUCCGGGCUAAUACCCUGGGGUAAUGACGGUACCUGAAGAAUAAGCACCGGCUAACUACGUGCCAGCAGCCGCGGUAAUACGUAGGGUGCAAGCGUUAAUCGGAAUUACUGGGCGUAAAGCGUGCGCAGGCGGUUGUGCAAGACAGAUGUGAAAUCCCCGGGCUUAACCUGGGAACUGCAUUUGUGACUGCAUGGCUAGAGUACGGUAGAGGGGGAUGGAAUUCCGCGUGUAGCAGUGAAAUGCGUAGAUAUGCGGAGGAACACCGAUGGCGAAGGCAAUCCCCUGGACCUGUACUGACGCUCAUGCACGAAAGCGUGGGGAGCAAACAGGAUUAGAU